rnacentral:tRNA from 2 species
UGCAAUAUAAUGUAAUAGGUAACAUAUAAGACUCAUGAUCUUAAUAUGAUAGUUCAAAUCUAUCUAUUGCAA